UACGGCCACAUCACAGUGAAACGCCGUUUCCCGUACAAUCACCGAAGUUAAGCAACGUUGAGUCUGGUCAGUACCUCGAUGGGGGUCCGCUUGUGGA